GUGAGGACAAACCAUUUGUAAAAUGGGUCUGAAGAAAAUAUGUCGAGAGCUGAAGCUGACAAUUUUUUGACUUGGUGUUCACGAAGAAUGAUCCCACAAGAAAAGUUGAUUAAGGCUCUGCUUUAAAUGCUAAUAGAAUAUUAAAUGAUUUUAACUAAAAGUACUAUAAAACAUUUAACUAACCUAGCAACAUAUCAGAACUUUCUUCAACUGACAUUUCUUUUUGAGGGGUUGACGACAAAACUUCAG